rnacentral:rRNA from 1 species
GACGAACGCUGGCGGCGUGCCUAAUACAUGCAAGUCGAACGAGAGCGCCCGGUGCUUGCACUGGUCAAUCUAGUGGCGAACGGGUGAGUAACACGUGGGUAACCUUCCCAUCAGAGGGGGAUAACAUCCGGAAACGGAUGCUAAAACCGCAUAGGUCUUCGAACCGCAUGGUUUGAAGAGGAAAAGAGGCGCAAGCUUCUGCUGAUGGAUGGACCCGCGGUGCAUUAGCUAGUUGGUGAGGUAACGGCUCACCAAGGCCGUGAUGCAUAGCCGACCUGAGAGGGUGAUCGGCCACAUUGGGACUGAGACACGGCCCAAACUCCUACGGGAGGCAGCAGUAGGGAAUCUUCCGCAAUGGACGCAAGUCUGACGGAGCAACGCCGCGUGAGUGAAGAAGGUUUUCGGAUCGUAAAACUCUGUUGUUAGAGAAGAACAAGUGCUAGAGUAACUGUUAGCGCCUUGACGGUAUCUAAACAGAAAGCCACGGCUAACUACGUG